rnacentral:rRNA from 1 species
GAUGAACGCUGGCGGCGUGCCUAAUACAUGCAAGUCGAGCGAAGAGGGGGGGGGUGAGUAACACGUGGAGAACUGCCUAUAAGAAUGGGAUAAAUUCGGGGAACCGGAGCUAAAACGGAAAAUUAAAGCAGGAUGCGCGCUGCAUUAGCUAGUUGGUAAGGUAACGGCUUACAAAGGCAACGAGGCAUAGCCGACCUGAGGGGGGGAACUCCCACACUGGAUCGGAGACACGUUCCAGACACCUACGGGAGGCAGCGGUACGGAAUCUUCCGCAAUGGGCCAAAGCCUGACAGUGCAACGCCGCGUGAGUGAUGAAGGUCUGCGGAUCGUAAAACUCUGUUAGUAUGGAAGCGGUACCUAAUCAGAAAGCCCCGGCUAACUACGUGCCAGCAGCCGCGGUAAUAC